AGGAGGGAGUUACACAAGGACAUGUAUACAGGAGGUGGGGAUCUCAAGGAGCCACUGAGGGGAAAAGAUGAGGACCCUGACAGGGUCAGUGCCUUUUCCAGAAUCACAGGGACUGGUCAAAAGGCAGAACCAAGCAUGAAUCUAGCUCCAUGUCCUUAAAGUUGGGGUUCUGGCUGCACCCAGGCUUUCUGAGGGGGUCUGGAAAAGGUUGUGUUAUUGUACCUGCACAGACAUGGAGAUGGUGUGGGGGUGAGGGUGAACAGGAGGGUGACAGGAGGCAUUCCAGCACAUUCUUGUCUGAGGAGGACCCCAGGUCAGGGCAACCCACUGAGUGCACCCCUGUCCACAUUGCACCCAGUGGAGAGGGAGAGAAUGGCAGAGCCUAGAGGUAAGGGUGGGUUCUGACCUUCUAGGCCAAAGCUCCAAUCCAUUCUGUCUGGUUUGCUUUGGAAAUUAGCCUAUGAUCUUGGGAAGCUUUUGCCCACCCUUCCCAUAUUCUGGGUCUCCAGAAUGUGAACACUGGUACACACACACACACACACACACACACACACACACCCCAGUAAGGACGGUGGGGUGGGACCUGAGGAGCUGCAGGUUCAGAGGUGGUGAAGAGAUGACGAAAAUACGGUUGGAAGCAUUUCUUAUGUGUGAUACUACUCCUCCAAUUUCAUAGGUAUCAUCCCAAAUAUGCCUGAGGACAUCCCGAGGAAGUACAUGCUAGAAUAAUCUCCAUUGCACAGGAAGGACACAGACCAUCCCUGAAGGGCACAAUGGCUUAUCCAGGGUCAAAAUCAGAACUGCACACCAGAGAUGGGGCAGGAGUUGAGUGAUGACAUCCUCUGCUCAACUUCCGUGAAGGACAGGAAUAUGCCCCACACCACCAACAGGAUGCAGGACCGAAGCGGCUCAGGGGGAGUGCAGGGUAAAAAUGCCUCAACCGUGAAUAAGAAUGAGACCAGUGUGAUGUGGACCAUCCAGGCAGGCUUGCUGGAUAAGCAAGUGUAGCAUCCUGUGCCUGUCUUCCUGGGCAGAGACCGCUGCCCCCCCCCACCCCCAUGUCUCCAUGUUCCUGGACAUGUACAGAACUUUUCCACUACUGAAAAGGUGCUGGAUCUGUUGAUUCCAAGGUAUGGAUGCAUCCUUCCUGAGAUGGGAUGAAGAUGGCAGACCCCUGGAGCAGCAGAAAAUGGCCAUCUUCUCCAUUCUGGGCACCUGGAUGGCCCACUCCCCUGAGGAUUUUUUCCAACCUGCAGAAUUUCCCUGCCUGAAGAUGCUGCUGGCAUACAUGGGGCUUAGCAUGCUGGGCUCACACCUGGAGCACCAUACGUCUGUUUUCCUCUCAUAGCUGGGACACAUGGAGCCCAAUGAGCCAGAGGUUGAGGCUAUAGCACCCGUUCCGGAGCAGGAUCCAGAACCAACUCAAGAGCUAGCCCCAGCUCCCACUGUGGUGCCUGCUGCAGCUUCAGAGCCCGAGGUGGCUGAAGCCAUCACUCCUGCUGGAGCUCAGCAAUUAGGAAAAGCAGUGACCCUCCCUGCAGUGUCAGAGCCAGUGCAGGUGGUAGUUAUAGCUCUGAUUCACUGUCAGGAGCUGGAAGAACCACCUGCACCUUUGGCAGCCCUGGAGCAUGAGCAGGCCCCAGCCCCAGCUACUGGGGUUACGGAAGGACUAGAACAACCACUUGCUACAGCUGAACAACCAGCCUCAGCUCCCAAGCAGUGGCUCGUGUCGGCUGCAGCCCCAAAGGAUGGCUUCCCCUCCCCUGUCGUUGCUUUUUUUUUUUUUGAAAUUUUUGUUUUUUUUUCAGAUAUGGAAUGGC